GAUGAACUAUAGUGCUGGCUGGCAGAGGGCAGGGUGUAGAGCGGUAUUGGGGUUCACUUUGGAAAACAAAAUUUGAUAGUAGGAUUUGAUGGUUCUUUGGAGAAGGGAACAUAUAAAAGGUAGGGUCUUGCUAAGUUGCCCAGGCUGGCCUCAAAUGUUUGAUCUUCCUGCCUCAGCCUCUUUGGUGCUAGGAUUACAGGUUGUCCUGGAACUCACUGUGUAACCCAGGCAGGACUUGAACUUGUGAUCCUCCCACCUGCCUCCUGAUUACAAGAAUUACCUGGGAUUAUAGGAAAUGAAGAGGUGGCUGGAGGCUGACUAGGAGGUGGAAGACACUGUACUUGCGGCUACAGCAGAUUUCUGGCUCAAGCUGACCCCAAGAUGCCAGUGUGCAGACUUCUGAGACAACCAGGUCCCUCAGGAGCCAUCAUUCACAGCUGUGCAAAGGCUGGUGGGCACAGCUGGGAUGGUAGGUGGUUGUCUCCCAUCAGCAAGAGUUUAUGGAAGAGAUCUUGUCUGCAAGAGGAGGAGGAGAAAAAAGGCAGAGGAAUCCCUCACUUCAAAUGAGGUUAUGGAGAUGCGUAAAAUGUGGGCAACAGUGCAAAAUUUUGUGGAAAAACACCACCCGAAUAAAGCUGUAGCAGUGCGAGCAAUGAAUCUGUCUAACCACAAUACAAUGUCUCAUUUCUGCGAAAUCCUCAAAAGGAGGCAAAAGCAAGUGUCACUGGAUAGGUUCUUUGUUAGAUUUGCAUGAAAAGAAAAAGACCCCAUUGAGCCAACAGAUAGCAGUGAUUCCAUAUUGACAGUGAAAGUCCUCUUAAUGACCCUCCUCUCUCUUGUCUCUCUCACACCGGCCAUGAAGUUUGCAAAAGUGCAG
rnacentral:lncRNA from 1 species